AAUAAAAUUGAAAAAAAAAUGAAAAGAAUAGGAUAAAAUUGAAAGAUAUGAAAAGUUCAUAACUUUUUGGUCAUUAGGCAUUUCAAAUUCAACUAAGGAUUUUGUUUCUGCAAGUUCCCUGCUUUGUUUUGUAGUAGAAACCAAUUCUCAUACGCUUUUCUCUUACGCAUACUCAUCAUAAUUCAUUGAGUUUUAGAAGUCAGCUGUUGAAUAAAUCUAUCCUUUGGUUUCAUGUAGAAUUUGUUACAAAAUGGGUCUCAUGAAGCAGCCAUUGAAAUCAGUUGAAUUACUUAUGGGAUUUAGGCUUUCUUUCUCUUCUGUCUCAUUCACUGAACUUCAAUAAAAUGAUUGGUGUUUAUGACCUACUUUUUUCAUAAAACUACAGAUAAGAGUUGAGAUUGAAGAUUCAGACUUUUGGCAAUUCAGUUUGGCAUUUCUGAACCUUGUGUGAUAUCUGUGUUCAAGUAAUGGACUUUCAUGCACACUUGCUGUCUUUGUCAUGGUGUGGUGUUCGAGCUGCUUCUCAUUCUUCCAUAAAAUUGCCGAACUUCAUUUAUGAAUUUGUUACUGCAUUGAUCACCGACCUUCAUUUGAAAGUGGAUACAUUCAUCACCUUUGCAUUUAUCUAGUUUAGUGAAAUUUUCAUUUUUGGUUGCCAUUGUUAGCCAAUUUCCUUGAUGAGAUCAUGAGCUGGACACAGAUCAAAUUCUGAAGCAACCAAAGUAUAUUCAGACGGUAAGUUUUAGACUCUGCUUCGUGGAAGCUCAUACCUGCUGCAAAAAGUGCGUGUCUAUAUACAUAUAUAUAUGGUAGAGAAGACCUUGAAUCUUGUUGUCAGUGUCCUCCGAGUUAGGUAAAUGAAGAUAAAACUAACAGUGAUGUGGGGAAAUCGGUAAAAGUUUCUGCACGGAUCUGAUUCAACUUUUUGUGGUUUAGGAUCCUAGAGUUGUGUUGCAGAUGCACUUCUGCAAUUUGUUUUAUCACUCUGGUUAACAUAAAAUCAUGCUUUGUAGCUGAGACCCCAGUUACAGGCUAAGUGGCAAAAAUUGAACCGCACCAAGAAAAAAGAUGAUUCAAUGGACAAUGGAGAUGUGAGAAAUAUAAGAACUAAAAAAAUGAGCAAAUAAUGCUCACUUACACAGUGAUUUUGUUGAAAGCAUCUAUACAGUUUGUUUUGUACAUUCUGUCAUAGAAAUUUAAAAAAAAAAAAAAUUAAUACCCAUGAAUUUUGGAGUUAUUAUCAUGGUUGUAAUGAAAUUAUUGUAUGAUAUUAUUAAGCUAUUAGCUUGUGCCUUC